UUAGUUGUUUUUUUUUUAUCAAUAGAAAAGUAGUACAGUAUUUUUUAUGUUACAACCCUUACAAAAUGUAGAUACGAGAAACACUACUUACUAUAAAAAAAAAUGGUAACUAAAUGCGUAAAUUAUUUUUAUAAUGAUUAAAUCAUUAAAUCGAGAAUACGCAUGAAAAAAAUAUACCUUAUAAUCUUAUAUUUAGGGUAAAUUACACGAAUGGUCCAUGUGAUUUAGGAUAAUCUGCGUGUUUGAUCCCUAACAACUUUUUUUAACUCGGAUCAUCACUAUUUUAUAUUUUUAUUGCAUGAUUGGUCCUUUUCCGUUCUAAAAUGACUAUUAUGUCCUUAUAUUUUUUUUAACCGUUUUAAUAUUUUUUAUUUACUCAUUAUUUAUAGAUAAACGAAAUGUAAUAUAAAUAUAAAAUAAAAUAAUAAAGAAUAAAAACCCUAUAGCUUCGUUCCUUCUCCCAGAUCUUCAUGCUUCACCUUCCUCCAUCACUGCCUCUCACCAUCUUCGUCUCUUUCCCGUUCCAGAUUCCGGUGACCCGAUCUUUCUCCUCCUCACACCCUCUCCAAUUGUCCGUUCACGCUCAAUCGUUCAAUUUGAUAACCCGAUCUGAAACUCAACCCAGUUGAGAACUAAACCCAUCUGAAACAUAAUGAAAGCAGAGGGCAAGACGAAGGCAAAAUUAUCGAUGGUUGGUGGAUUUUCUGAAAAUUGAUUCUCACCACUCGUUCGAUUCGAUUUCUCAGACAUCAGAGGGACAUUAUAAAGAUCGAGAUGCACGUGAAUCAUGAUAUGUUCACACUCCUUCAAUCUCCAAGUUUCCCUAAAUUGUUUGGAUUUUGAUUUAUUUGACUAAACUACAGGAUAUUCAGGUGACAUAGGGUGCAUUGGUGGAGGUUGCAGUGAUGACAGGUUGUGGUGGCGAUGAUGAGUGGAAGUGGUGUCGGAGAUGGAGAUGGUGUUGGAAUCUAUUGGACAGAGAGGAUGUGGGAUUUACAGGUUUGAAGAUCCGAUCUCCCAAAGCGAUAUCUGAUUUGCAGGUUUGAGAAUAAAGCUUGAAAUCCAGUUUUGUUUCAAAGCCUUGUGUUGUGUAUGUAAUCAUCGGAAACACAAAGGGGCAGAGGUGUACGACAGGGGACGGUGGUUGGGGAAGGAGGGGUGCCGAUGAUGAAGUUCUGAAGCGAAGGAAGAAAAGAACGAGUGGGACCCACACGUAUAAAAAAAAUCUUAUAACCCUUUAGUUAAUAAUAAGCAAUAAGUUAAAAUAAUGCAUAAGGGUAUAUUGGUCUUUUCAUGUUGGUUGGGGACCAAAAUCGCAACAAACACAAACAUCAGGGAUGGUCCGUGUUAAAAAUUCUUUCUAGGGACCAACCGUGCAGACUUCCCAAAACCACAUGGACCAUUUGUGUAAUUUACCCUUAUAUUUAUUGUCAGUGAAUAAACAAGAAAAAAAAGAUUGAGUAUAUGUAUAAAUAAAAAUGUGAUUUACCGAAGAAUGAUGAAAAAUAUAAAUGUUACACGAUUAUUAUCUCUAAUGAAAGACAUGUUGCAACUA